rnacentral:rRNA from 1 species
AUUGAACGCUGGCGGCAGGCCUAACACAUGCAAGUCGAACGAGUGGCGGACGGGUGAGUAAUGUCUGGGAAACUGCCUGAUGGAGGGGGAUAACUACUGGAAACGGUAGCUAAUACCGCAUACCAUCGGAUGUGCCCAGAUGGGAUUAGCUAGUAGGUGGGGUAAAGGCUCACCUAGGCGACGAUGCCUAGCUGGUCUGAUAGGAUGACCAGCCAAACUGGAACUGAGACACGGUCCAGACUCCUACGGGAGGCAGCAGUGGGGAAUAUUGGACAAUGGGCGCAAGCCGGAUGCAGCCAGGCCGCGUGUAUGAAUAAGGCCUUCGGGUUGUAAAGUACUUUCAGCGGUGAGGCGUUACCCGCAUAAGAAGCACCGGCUAACGCCGUGCCAGCAGCCUCUGUAAUUC